rnacentral:lncRNA from 1 species
UUUUUCCCUGUUAAAGAAAAAACUAAAAUUAGUAACGAAUAGAUAAAAUGUUGGAACCCUAAAAGCCUAAUCUGGUUUAUUCACCUCCAAUUGGAGAAAAUUUGUAUUCUGUCUCACUUAGUAAGAAAAAGCCAAAACUAUCUUCUCUCCAUGAAGCCUUGUUGUUGCACCAUCUUCAAGAGUCGUUAUGGUUGCCGUUGCUUCGUCUGUAUUAAUGGCCAACUAGUGAGUUAUUUGGUUUUGGAGUUUCGAUUUGACUCUCUGUCUCUUAUCUUCGUGAUUAUUUAAGCACUUAAUUUUAGGGAUUGUACUUUUUUUACCCUUUUAAUUUUUUUCUGUUUUUUUUUUCUUUUCUUUUUAUAUCCACGGGCUUUCUUUCUCUCUCUAGAAUAUCGAUAUUAGCUUGACUCUCUGUAUCUCCUUCGUCAUCACGGUGCUAUUUGCUUCGAAUAGGUUAUUAUUUUCCAGAAUACCUUUUUUUAUUGAGUGUUGCUUUUUUGGAUAAUUUUUUUUAGUGUUGUUAUCUAUUCUCUCACCCUUUAUAAAACUUCCCUCAUUUGUUAA